UGUCUUCAUUUGAACAAUGAGAACAUCAAGCAUUUUAUGCUGUGGAGGAUAAUGAUGUAAUCCCGCAAGUCAAUGCAAAAUAAUUUGACAAUGGACAAAAUAAAAUAAGAUCCCUCACAGAUUCACAACGUCAUAAUAUUUUUGUGAAAAUCCAUCCAGCAUUUUGAUCAUCAAUUAAAGUGGAUUUUCUUGAGGCUAGUUAUAAAUACAAUUUUGAUCCUGAAGAGGGACUUUUCCCAGAUGAUCUUCUGUUACAAGAACUAAUGCAGAAGGGGAACUUGGAGAUCUGAAGAGCUGAUUCUGGUCAAGAUCACAGCAUCUUGUUGGGAUGUUUCAGAACAAAAUUUUUCAUCUUUAAGAAUUGAAGAAAACAUAAAUUUUGAUCCAAUAAACUUCACGGGGAGGAAAUCAAGAUUACACAAGCUAAUCAGGAGGAGAGGUAAUUUCCUUCAUCAUACACUGUAAGGCCGGAAUCACUCAAUGAAAUCCAACUUCUUUACAGCUCCACCUGCAAAAUCAAGAAUAUCAUAUUGGAAACAAAGCAGACAGUGACACUCCAAGAUUGACGGCUAAUUUUGUCCACCUGUUCCCAGAAUUGCUGCAAGACUUGGAUAAUCUAUGUGUUCAUCAGCAGAUGUGCAGAGAGCAAGUAUUUCAUUCACAUGAUGUAUAUUGCUAUUCAGCAACCGAAAGUGAUAGGAGCAGCCAAGCAGCUGUGUCUCAAAAGCAUUCUGUUGAGAAGAAAAUCAUACAAGAAGUUUAUCUCAGAUGAGUCUGUCUAAAAAUUCAGAAUAGAGAAAGCUGAUGUUUAGAGACAGAAAAUAGAUGAGAGGUUAUCUGCAGCGAGAGCUUGAUCUUGUGAUAGCAAAGAGAGACAAAUAACCCUCUGUGAGAUCUACACUUAGUUUGGCUUGGAGAAGUUGAGAUUUUGGUGUUGGUUGUGGAGUAUGCACAGAUUUUUAUUCAAGUACAAUUGAUCAUGUG